UCCCUGAUAGCUCAGUUGGUAAAGAAUCUGCCUGCAAUGCAGGAGACUCCAGUUCAAUUCCUGGGCUGGGAA
rfam:Ovis aries breed Texel chromosome 16, whole genome shotgun sequence.